AGAGUUUGAUCCUGGCUCAGGUUGAACGCUGGCGGGAUGCUUUACACAUGCAAGUCGAGCGGCAGCGCGGGGGCAACCCUGGCGGCGAGCGGCGAACGGGUGAGGAAUACAUCGGAACGUGUCCCGUAGUGGGGGAUAGCUCGGCGAAAGCCGGAUUAAUACCGCAUAUGCUCUACGGAGGAAAGCCGGGGACCUGCAAGGGCCUGGGGCUAUGGGAGCGGCCGAUGUCCGAUUAGCUAGUUGGUGGGGUAAAGGCCUACCAAGGCGAUGAUCGGUAGCUGGUCUGAGAGGAUGAUCAGCCACACUGGGACUGAGACACGGCCCAGACUCCUACGGGAGGCAGCAGUGGGGAAUUUUGGACAAUGGGGGCAACCCUGAUCCAGCCAUGCCGCGUGCGGGAAGAAGGCCUUCGGGUUGUAAACCGCUUUUAGUCGGGAAGAAAAGGGCGAGGCGAGUAGCCUCGUCACUUGACGGUACCGGCGGAAUAAGCACCGGCUAACUACGUGCCAGCAGCCGCGGUAAUACGUAGGGUGCGAGCGUUAAUCGGAAUUACUGGGCGUAAAGCGUGCGUAGGCGGUUCGUUAAGUUCGUUGUGAAAGCCCCGGGCUCAACCUGGGAACUGCAAUGGAACUGGCGGGCUUGAGUGUGGCAGAAGGGGGUGGAAUUCCGCGUGUAGCAGUGAAUUGCGCAGAGAUGCGGAGGAACACCGAUGGCUAAAGCAGCCCCCUGGGCCAACACUGACGCUCAGGCACGAAAGCGUGAAGAGCAAACAGGAUUAGAUACCCUGGUAGUUC
rnacentral:rRNA from 1 species